UACGGAGGGGGCUAGCGUUGUUCGGAAUUACUGGGCGUAAAGCGCACGUAGGCGGCUUUGUAAGUUAGAGGUGAAAGCCCGGAGCUCAACUCCGGAAUUGCCUUUAAGACUGCAUCGCUAGAAUUGUGGAGAGGUGAGUGGAAUUCCGAGUGUAGAGGUGAAAUUCGUAGAUAUUCGGAAGAACACCAGUGGCGAAGGCGACUCACUGGACACAUAUUGACUCUGAGGCACGAAAGCGUGGGGAUCAAACAGG
rnacentral:rRNA from 1 species